rnacentral:misc_RNA from 1 species
GUUGGUGAACCAGCGGAGGGAUCAUUACAGAGUUGUAAAACUCCUAAACCCAUGUGAACAUACCUCUGUUGCCUCGGUGGCCUACCCUGUAGUUACCCUGUAGUUACCCUGUAGCUACCCUGUAGCUACCCUGUAGCUACCCUGUAGCUACCCUGUAGUCCACCGAAGGAUUAAAAAACUCUUUUAUUAUUGUAUCUCUGAGACAAAAACAAAUAAGUUAAAACUUUCAACAACGGAUCUCUUGGUUCUG